rfam:Vibrio ponticus DNA, contig: contig00022_1, strain: JCM 19238.
AAAAUGGCUCCUUUCGGAGCCACUAUAACUAUUUACGGUUGAGUG